CUUUCGCUUUUCUGUAUUUUUCCCUAUUUGAAAAUGCAAAAAAACUGAUUUACCCUAUAAAAGUCAGAUACUAUAAUUUAGUAAAUACCUUCACGGUAGACCUUGGGGGGGAAUGCAGAUACUGGAAAUAGGAUCAUAAUGUUUUCUGGUAGAACAUAAUAAUACAUGAUAAUUGUCAUAAGACUAUUGACAUUUUAAAUUUAGUUUUUAAGGAAAUGGAGAUGAUGAAGCUUAAGUGGGGUUUUUUGUAAUUUUUCCAACCAUAUAUGGAAGAAAUAAAAUAGUGUUUGCUCUAGAAGACAUCAAUGUCAGGAAUGCAGCCAGAGAACCAACAAUGACUGGGCUGGACUAACCAACGUCUUGAGUCAUACUUUUAGGAGUUAUGAACAGGGGGUAUCUGUAGAAGUGUAUUGUUUAAACAAUUUUAUAAAUAUGCUGUAAUAUAAUAAAUGUUUAAAUUACUUGGCUUCACAAAAUAUUUGUGCUCCAAAAAAAAUAA